UGACGAGUGGCGAACGGGUGAGUAAUGCAUCGGAACGUGCCCGGAAGUGGGGGAUAACGUAGCGAAAGUUACGCUAAUACCGCAUAUUCUGUGAGCAGGAAAGAGGGGGAUCGCAAGACCUCUCGCUUUCGGAGCGGCCGAUGUCGGAUUAGCUUGUUGGUGAGGUAAAAGCUCACCAAGGCGACGAUCCGUAGCUGGUCUUAGAGGAUGAUCAGCCACACUGGGACUGAGACACGGCCCAGACUCC
rnacentral:rRNA from 1 species